CGUGUAGGUGGUACUGUAAGUAGGGCGUGAAAGCUCCUGGCUCAACUGGGAGAGGCCGUUCUAAACUACAGAACUAGAGGAUGGUAGAGGGAGGUGGGAUUCCAGGUGUAGCGGUGGAAUGCGCAGAUAUCUGGAGGAACACCGGUGGCGAAGGCGGCCUCCUGGACCAUUCCUGACACUCAGACGCGAAAGCUAGGGUAGCAAACG
rnacentral:rRNA from 1 species